rnacentral:SRP_RNA from 1 species
GCUGGGCGUGGUGGCGGGCGCCUGUAGUCCCAGCUACUUGGGAGGCUGAGGCAGGAGAAUUGCUUGAACCUGGGAGGCAGAGGU